rnacentral:lncRNA from 1 species
AUUAAGAUGCAGAAAAUAAGGUAUUUAAGAUGCAGAAAAUAAGGUAGUUAAGAUGCAGAAAAUAAGGUAACACCCCACAUCACUACAGUGCAUAACAAAUCUAUCACAUAAGCACAAAGAUAAAUACUGAGAGUAUUAGUUGAAACUUAGCAAACACAAAAAGGACAUAAGCUUAUUCUCAAAUUUCAGUACAUAUACUCAUCAAAAUUCAGAAUCUCACGUCACAAACCCGAGCUUAGUGCUCAAGGGUGUGACAGUCAUGCCUUUUAUGCAAGAUCUAAGAAGCUAUGAUGCUCAUUAUUGUAAUGAAAAACUUUUGAAAAAUUUUGAAAUUUGGACAAAAUUUGAAAUCCCCCAAGUUUAGACCAAACAAGUGAGCUAUUAUCCACCCUUCGCUUAAAACAUUGCUUGGUAGUAGCCCAACAUGAGAAGAUAAAACAAUCUGAAUGCAGGCGAUCCUAUAAACUAUUAAAACAAUAGCCACAACCGAUGAAAAUCAAGUUGGAUAAACAACCAUUUGAUGAAGGGAGGGCGUUGAGCUUGUCUAAGAAAAACAUACUCUUUGAGGGUUUAUGGCAGCAGCAGCAACAUACAUAUCCAGCUUUCCUGUAGGUAUUCCUAUUCCCUAAACUCCAAGGUCACGGAGGCCAAGAAUACGACUUCCAUCUGUCAAGACAAUCAUGUCAACUUGUAGUUGGAAGAAGAAAAUACAAUGAACUUCAAAAAUAUAUAUAUAUCUAUAAAGCAUAACAAUUAUCCCACUGCUGAAAGAAAUAAUAUUUGUUAUUCUAUGUAUAUAAUUCACAAAUUAAUAGACCAUUAUCUCAAUGUACAAAUUGUGUGAAGCUAAGGUCUCUGAAACAACUUAAAGAGGGUUGAAGAAGUGUACCAGAAGUUUUUCAUUAGCCAUCAAUCCAGGAAAUAAAUGAAGCAUCAAGCUUGUCUAAUAAACUGAACUGGGUCCUCAAUAUUUAACACAAAUUACACAAAAAUCUAGGGAGGGGGGCUAUGAUUUACAUACGUAAAAUACUUAGAGGUUUGAAAAUAACUUAUUGCAUUCACUAUACACCGAGUAAGAAGAGAACGAAGGCGACGGGAGAAAGGAAAGGGGAUAAGGAAAAGAGGAGAACAGAAAGAGAACAACGACAAGAGGAACCAAUUUAUUUUGGGGAAAGAGGUAUUUUAGGAAUUUUCAUUUUUAUGGAGGGACCGACUGUGAUUUUAACUAAACGGGAUAGUUGCAAAUUUAGCAAUUAACUAAAAGAGGAUAAAGAAGAUAAUAAACAUAAAACUGGAGAGUAUCAUUUCCUAAACCAUUCAACAUGUAGCUAAUAGAGUGGCACACCGGUAAGAGAAAUAAUCUUUGUAUCCUUCCAAUUAAUUUAUUUGAUAUUCUAGAAGUAUAAAUAAAAUUGAAAACUAAGAAUGCUCAGUUUUACCUUGACCGUGCAAAUGGUCUAUCUUUCUCGAGUUCUAACUCCAUAAGUUCAACUUCUGCUUUUCGGUUUUUAGCUAAGCCCUUGCCCCAUUCCAACUUUAUCUCCUGUGACCGGAAGACCAGCAUCACAAGCAGCCACAGUGGGAUUUGAUAAAAACAUUGAUAAGAACUAUAUCUCCUGAGAAGUAUAUAGUCUAAAGUGGAAUUUUAAUUUAAAUCAUAACUCUUGAAUACCACCCUAAGACUUCAAUACUAUACUUUAAUUCAACCAACCACUAAUAAACAUAGAACAAGAAAUUGGAACAAGUCUGAAUUAUUAAUAUCAGACAAAGCCUGAAUGUUAGAAUAUUCAUCAAUAUGAAUAAAGAUGAAACAAGUCUAAACUCAAGAUAGAUAGUUUUUAGAAGCUUUAAAUUGGUAGCUUUUCAACAUAGUCAACAAAACAUGAAGCAUACCCAAAGAAUACUUUAAUUAGCUUUAUGCAUAAAGUAGCUAAAAAGUAAGAGAAAGCUUCAUGCUAUUAAAUUAAUUGGAAACAGCAACAACAGAAAAUCAGCUUGAUUAAACAAGUGCUUAAUAAUCUUUUAAUUGAGCCAAACAAGCUGAACCACACCAUUCAAUCCCGAUCUAGUCAAAAGCAAACAACCCAAAUGCUGAAUUUCAUAUUGAUUCCUCCCAACAUGUAUAUAUAUCUAAACAUGAAACCAAAACUUCCCAAUUUUGCAUAGGCCUAAAAAAGACAUGAAUUUAAGAUAAUUAGAAAAGUUAUCUAGGGUACCCAAAAGAUCGCUGGUUUUUUUAAUAUUAUUAUUAUUGGAAAACUUAACUACCUGCAAGAGGAACCUCUUCAAUAGGAAGUUCUGCACCAAGAUCACCUCUGGCAACCAUUGCCUAAAAUGAAAAGAAAUAAUGUUCUUCAAUUAGCAACCAAGCCCCAGACUAUCAACAAAAUUGAAAACCUUUUAAUGAAAUUCAACAUUAACGAAGCUGUGAAAAAAUUCAAACAAUCACCCCAUCAGAAGCUGUAAUAAUUGAAUGCAAAUUUGGUAUGGAGUAUACACUUUCUAUUUUUACAAUCACAUGAAUAGCAGCAUCACAGCCUGCAGAGUCGGAUAUUAAAAAUUCAAACCCAUAAAGUCUAACUAACUAAACACAAUUAGAUUUCUAGUAGCAGUAAUUUAACACAGAAACAGAAAUUAAACAUUAGAACAUUAUUCCAUGGCAUUUCUAUAAAUUUAUCACAUGUUCUUUCUUCUUCUUUUUUUUCUUUCCUUUUUUGAUAUAACUCUAACCAUGUAGUUAAGCUUCUCCCUGUAGCAGUUAAUUAAAAUAGAGACAGAAACUAUAGAUUAACAAACAAUUGGAAGGCCUCUCGAUCAAUUUAUCUAACAAUAAGUUCAUACUUGUGUCUUUUUGGAAGUAUGAAAAACGAGAAAUCACUAUUUUCCCUAAACGAGAAACCUCUUCGUUCCGUUUUUGUUGAUUAUUCAUCCUUGUUCUUCACAGGAAAUUCUCUCAAUUUUCUUCAAAGGAAGGAUCAAGUUCUCUCCUACAAAGGGUAUGUUUCUAAUUUUCCUAACUUUAUGACAUAAUAUGGCAGUGUUGUAUAAUGCAAAUCUACAAUAGAAGAAACACCAUUUACAGCAGAGCCAAGAAAAAUGAAGAUUAAAUAUAAUGUACUGCAAUAAAAUUAAAAUACUAAAGAAUGUGUUAGGAUGUGCUUUCUCAAUCUACAUCCUAAACCCCUAAACCCAUAAACCUCUAAACCCAACAUCCUGAUGUGCUUUUUCAAUCUACAUCCUUCUCAAAGAAACAUCCUGAUGUGCUUUCUUAAUCUACAUCCUUCUCAAAGAAAUGAAUUGAAAAAUCUCUAAAAGUUUCCUCAUCAAACAAUACCAUCCAACAAUGUUUAAGAAGGAUAGUAAAAAGGAAGAAGAAUGAUGUAAUGGUGUUUAAAGAGGAUAGUAAAACGGAACAAAUAGUGAUUAGCCUAAUUCUUCAAAAAAAACAUUAAGUUUUGAGUUGUGGCAAUAUGAACUAGGAUCUCCUUUACAAUUGUGCUCUAAAGAUAUUGAAGACAAUUUAUAGAAUAAAUCAAACUUAUUAAUGAUAAUAAUAGAAUUAGUAAUGACGAAAUUACAUAUCCUUUAAAAUUUUUUGUUAAGUGAAAAUUAUGAGGUUUCUUUCCGCUUUUGUGUGUUCUCAUGUUUAAUUGUACUUUAUCGUACCAAUUUAGAAUUUUAAAAUGUUUUUAAUUCACCAUUUGAGGCUUCAUCUUGCCUCUUCAAGUCAAAAUACCUCACAGCCAGCCUUUGUUGAGUUAUUUUCUAUUGAAUAAUAGAUUGUGUUUUCUUUUUGGUCAAGAGACCAAAGUAGAUUAGUUACAAUUAGAAACAAAAAGGUGGAUUUCGAUUUCCCAUAAUAAACAAUAAGAGUGGAUCACCCAACAAGUCAUAAACCUACUAUCAUUUAUGUUCCACUUGAUCCAAACAUAACAAACAAAAAUGAAAGGUUUGGACUUACUUGAGAAUUAGUGUUGAAAAAAGAUAGUUGUAUGACCUUGUUAGCAUAUGAGUAACAACUUGAAAAUGCAUCGAGAAUCUACAAAAUUAUUUAACAUUAGUAGUUAAGAUGCAGAAAAUAAGGAAACACCCCACAUCACUACAGCGGAUAACAAAUCUGCCACAUAAGCACAAAGAUAUAAAUACUGAGAGUAUUAUUUGAAACUUAGCAAACUCAAACAGGACACUGAUUUGGAGCUAUGCCUGAGGGAAAAAUAAAUCAUGAACACUGAUUUCAACUCCAAGAUGCUUCUAAAAGGCUUGUCUUACACCGAUUGAGGCAAGUCCUUGCUAAACUUUCUCUUUCUUGUAUCUUUUUCAAAAAACGCUCUCUGUCUCAUUUGCACUUAUUUCUCUCUUCUUCUUCCACGCUUAAUGAAGAAAACCCUUAAUGAAGAAAAAAUAAGAAAUCAACCCUAAACCCCUCAACCCAACAUCCUGGUGUGCUUUCUCAAUCUACAUCCUUCUCAAAGAAACAUACUGAUGUGCUUUCUUAAUCUACAUCCUUCUCAAAGAAAUGAAUUGAAAAAUCUCUUCUCAGAGAAAUGAAUUGAAAAAUCUCUAAAAGUUUCCUCAUCAAACAAUACCAUGCAACAAUGUUUAAAAAGGAUAGUAAAAAGGAAGAACAAUGACGUAAUGGUGUUUAAAGAGAAUGGUAAAAAGGAACAAAGAUGGUAAGGAGAAAUUUAUUUUCAACUUAAUCAUGAAGAACAGUUCAACAAAAAAUAAAUAAUAAAUUUAAGGCACUUGGGAAAGCAACAAACCUGCUUCUGUAACUCAAGAAGCUGCCGCUCUUUCUCAUGAAUGUGUUCUUCAAGUUCAUGCAAAUGUUUUAUUUGCUGAGCUCUUUCAGCUUCAGAAUGAUCAUGUUCUCUCCUACAAAUGAUAACUCAAUGACUUAAUAUGGCAGUCUUGUAUAAUACAAAUCCAUAAUAGAAGAAACACCACUUACAGCAGAGCCAAGAAAAAUGAAGAUUGUAUGUAAUGUACAGCAAUAAAAUUAAAAUACCAGAGAAUGUGUUAGGGUGUAGAGCAAAUCAUCUUCACUGCAAUUAUUCGGGAGGUUCUGUAAAGAUAAUUCCAAUACCAGAACCUUCUUACCUCAUAUAUAGUCCUUUCAUCCGACUCUGUCAACUUUGCUCUUUCCGUUUCCUGCACAUCAAAUAAGCUUCAAUUUCAACCAAACUCGUAAAGGUUACAACUCUCACGUGAUGCUAAUUGAACGGAAGUUUAGAAACUGGGACAGGGUAUGAGCUAACUUCAUUAUGCUCAAGCAACAAAUUUUAUGUUAUGUAAGCAUAAAUAUUAACUAGAGGCUUAAAUAAAAUAUUUCACCACCACCACCACAACAACAAAAAGCCCAGAUAUAUCGCCAUUGACAACAGAAACAGAGCAAUAUAAACACAAUACAUUACAAGGAAAAUAUGGAGAUAAAAGACAUGAAGGUUUCCCUUUCACUUACAAAGAGGAUCAUUAAGUAACUUCUCGUUGUUAGAACCAAUAUCUAGCAUUACUGGAAGAAUCUGUCAAUUAAACAAGAGUAAACUUAAUGAAAUUCAGAAAGUGGGGUUAAGAAAAGUUGCUAAAAAAAUGUCACCAUUAAAUGAUAUUAGUAUUCUUAGAUAGUCUACAAAUUUCAUGAAGAAAAGACAACAGACUUGAGAGUUACCCCCACUAUCAGGAAUACUUGCUUGAACGGGAAAAGAUAUCGGCAAAUUCUAAACACGGCACAGUAAACUCUCACUCUCCUGGUUCUUGCUUAAAAUCACAUGUACAUGUCAUUGCCGAUAGUGCCUCUUUCACUGAAACAAACCAAAUUUCAGUACCAAUUAAGAUGCAGAAAAUAAGGUAUUUAAGAUGCAGAAAAUAAGGUAGUUAAGAUGCAGAAAAUAAGGAAACACCCCACAUCACUACAGUGCAUAACAAAUCUAUCACAUAAGCACAAAGAUAAAUACUGAGAGUAUUAGUUGAAAGUUAGCAAGCACAAAAAGGACAUAAGCUUAUUCUCAAAUUUCAGUACA